GAGGGAUUGAAGGUUAAGUUGAUCUUCAAUGGCCAAUGAUUUAAUCAAUCAUGCCUGUGUAAUGAAGCCUUCAUAAAAACCUAAAAAAGGACGGGGUUUGGAGAGCUUCCUGUAAGCGAACCCGUGAAGGUUCCAGGAGGAUGGCGCACCCGGAAAGGGCGUGGAAGCUCCGCGCCCCUUCCCACAGACUUUCCCCCAUCCAUCUCUUCAUCUGGUGUUCAUCGAUAGCCUUUGUAAUGUCCUUAAUAGUAAACCGGAAAACAUGUACACCUAACAGCAUGGUAAGGAAGCCCCAGAAGGAUGUUUCUAAAGACCAUGAGGGAGUCUGAAACCUGAAAUCAUGCCAAGGACUCUCUGCUUCUCUUUCACUUGGGGUGUCUAUCUGAUGCUGCCACAACCAGUUGAAACGUAUAACAUUAACAAUAAAAA
rnacentral:lncRNA from 1 species